rnacentral:rRNA from 1 species
GACGAACGCUGGCGGCGUGCUUAACACAUGCAAGUCGAACGGAAAGGCCCUGCUUUUGUGGGGUGCUCGAGUGGCGAACGGGUGAGUAACACGUGAGUAACCUGCCCUUGACUUUGGGAUAACUUCAGGAAACUGGGGCUAAUACCGGAUAGGAGCUCCUGCUGCAUGGUGGGGGUUGGAAAGUUUCGGCGGUUGGGGAUGGACUCGCGGCUUAUCCGCUUGUUGGUGGGGUAGUGGCUUACCAAGGCUUUGACGGGUAGACGGCCUGAGAGGGUGACCGGACACAUUGGGACUGAGAUACGGCACAGACUCCUACGGGAGGCAGCAGUGGGGAAUAUUGCACAAUGGGCGGAAGCCUGAUGCAGCAACGCCGCGUGCGGGAUGACGGCCUUCGGGUUGUAAACCGCUUUCGCCUGUGACGAAGCGUGAGUGACGGUAAUGGGUAAAGAAGCACCGGCUAACUACGUG